rnacentral:rRNA from 1 species
UCUCAGAUCGAUGAAGAACGCAGCGAAAUGCGAUAAGUAAUGUGAAUUGCAGAUUUUCAGUGAAUCAUCGAAUCUUUGAACGCACCUUGCGCUCCUUGGUAUUCCGAGGAGCAUGCCUGUUUGAGUGUCAUUAAAUUCUCAACUCCGAUCGAUUUGUUUCGACCUCGGAGCUUGGACUUUGGAGUGUGCUGGCGUCGGUCGGCUCCUCUCAAAUGCAUCAGCGGAAUCUAACGUUUCGGACGUCAGUGUGAUAAUCACGUUGCGCUGUCAACCGAUCCUGAAAGGCCCGCUCAUAAUGGUCUUCGGACAACUUCAUAUCAAAUUUGACCUCAAAUCAGGUAGGACUACCCGCUGAACUUAA